AUGACGUCAAGUCCUCAUGGCCCUUAUGGGUAGGGCUUCACACGUCAUACAAUGGUCGGUACAGAGGGUUGCCAAGCCGCGAGGUGGAGCCAAUCUCAGAAAGCCGAUCGUAGUCCGGAUUGUUCUCUGCAACUCGAGAGCAUGAAGUCGGAAUCGCUAGUAAUCGCAGGUCAGCAUACUGCGGUGAAUACGUUCCCGGGUCUU
rnacentral:rRNA from 1 species